rnacentral:lncRNA from 1 species
CUAGUUUAUACCAUAAAAACUAUCAUAUUGUCAUUAUGCUUAAUAUUAUUUGGCAUAUUCUAUUAUAUUUAGUAUCAGCCAAGUACGUGGUAUAGCACUGAAGAUAAAACCUGUUUGGAUCUCAUACUUCUGUUUAAUUCUGCCUGCUUUGAGGGGAUUGUAGUUUUCGUCAUUACCAAGCUGUUAAUAAUGAAGAAAUGCUCAUUAUUAAUAGCACAAUAUAAAAUAAAUGGCACUGAGUAUUAUGAGGGGGGGAAGGAAUGACACUGACAGCUUUUUCUUUAUUACCUGCAGAGGAGAAGAAAGUAAAGAGCACUAAAGUGGAAGCAAAAGUUAAAAAGGAAGUGAAGGAUGGAAAAGGAGAAGCAAAGAUGGCAGAGAAGGUCAAGCAGGCAGAGACAAAACCAACAGAAACUGGGCUAAUAAAGGCCAAAACGAAAGUUAAGGAGGAGAAAGCUCUUCAGACUGUAACUAAAUCGGACAAGAAAGAUCAAUAUGCAUUCUGUCGCUAUGUGAUUGACAUGUUUGCGCAAGGGGAUUUUUAUCCAGGUGCAGGACAUAAGGAAUUGGUACCACCUCGUCUUCUUCUGGAACACAGUCCAAGAAAGAAACCAGCAGCUAUUGAAGAAGAAAAGUCUACUGUGGUACCUAGAGAAGGGAAAAGUAAGUUUGGGUUUUUUAUUUUUCCUUCAUCUUCAUGUUAGUUUUAUGCAAGGGACAGGAGUAUAUUUGCUUCUUGGAUUUGAAAAUAUUCCUAUACCUUAAAUAUGUUUCAGUUAAAGAAAAGACUCUUGUUUAAGUGCUUAUGGUUCUAUCUUCUGUAAGAUAAUAAAAC